rnacentral:rRNA from 1 species
UACGUAGGUGGCAAGCGUUGUCCGGAUUUAUUGGGUUUAAAGGGUGCGUAGGCGGUCCUAUAAGUCAGUUGUGAAAUACGGCAGCUUAACUGUCGAGGUGCAAUUGAUACUGCAGGACUUGAGUACAGACGAGGUAGGCGGAAUUGACGGUGUAGCGGUGAAAUGCUUAGAUAUCGUCAAGAACACCGAUAGCGAAGGCAGCUUACUAGACUGUAACUGACACUGAGGCACGAAAGCGUGGGGAUCAAACAGG